AUGGCAGCUUCAGGAGAGAGCAGGAUCCCAUGGCAGCACAGAGGAAGCAUUUAUGACCUUCGACAGUGAGGUGAAACAAAUAGAGAAGAGAGACUUGGUUCUAACAUCCAAAAAUCGGAUUGGAAGGCCGAACGUCCUGGUUCCUCUUACUUCAAUUUGAACCCGUCUGAGGUUCUUCAGAUAGAUCCUGAAGUUACAGAUGAGAAUAUAAAAAAGAGGCUUUAGCAGUUAUCCAUAUUGGUGCAUCCUGACAAAAUUCGAGAUGAUGCUAACAGCACAAACAGCUUUUGAAGCUGUGGACAAAGCUUGCAAGUUGCUACUGGAUCAGGAGCAAAAGAAGAAGGUCCUGGAUGUAAUUCAGGCAGGAAAGGAAUACGUGGAACGCAGUGUGAAAGAGUGAAAAAAACAAUUAAAGAAGGAAGGAGAACCUACGAGUUUAGCAGAGGCUGAUUCUGAGCUGUUCAAACAAGCUGUAUGUAUACAGACAAUGAAACGCUUUGCUGAGCAGGAAAUUAAAAGGAAAGAGAAAGAAGCCAAAGAGAUGCAUGAAAGGAAACGACAAAGGGAAGAAGACACUGAAGCUCAAGAAAAAGCCAAAUGAGAAAGAAAGCGGCAGAAAAACUUUGAAGAAAGUCGUGAUGGUCAUGUGGACAGCUGGCGAAACUUCCAAGCCAAUACAAAGGGGAAGAAAGAGAAUAAAAACCAGACCUUCCUGAGACAACCAAAAGUAAAAAUGGAGCCGUGUGAAUGA
rnacentral:lncRNA from 10 species